CCUACGGGCGGCUGCAGUGGGGAAUAUUGCACAAUGGGCGCAAGCCUGAUGCAGCCAUGCCGCGUGUGUGAAGAAGGCCUUCGGGUUGUAAAGCACUUUCAGCGGGGAGGAAGGCGUUAAGGUUAAUAACCUUGGCGAUUGACGUUACCCGCAGAAGAAGCACCGGCUAACUCCGUGCCAGCAGCCGCGGUAAUACGGAGGGUGCAAGCGUUAAUCGGAAUCACUGGGCGUAAAGCGCACGCAGGCGGUCUGUCAAGUCGGAUGUGAAAUCCCCGGGCUCAACCUGGGAACUGCAUUCGAAACUGGCAGGCUAGAGUCUUGUAGAGGGGGGUAGAAUUCCAGGUGUAGCGGUGAAAUGCGUAGAGAUCUGGAGGAAUACCGGUGGCGAAGGCGGCCCCCUGGACAAAGACUGACGCUCAGGUGCGAAAGCGUGGGGAGCAAACAGGAUUAGAUACCCCGGUAGUC
rnacentral:rRNA from 1 species